rnacentral:rRNA from 1 species
AACAAACGCUGGCGGCGUGCCUAAUACAUGCAAGUCGAACGAGGAAAGCCUUCGGGUGAGUACUAGUGGCGCACGGGUGAGUAACACGUGGGUAAUCUGCCAUAGAGUGGGGGAGUAACCAGUCGAAAGAUUGGCUAAUACCGCAUAAGACCACAAGAUCUGCGGAUCAAGGGGUCAAAGGUUUUUCGCUCUAUGAUGAG